rnacentral:lncRNA from 1 species
GCAAUCUCAGCUCACUGCAACCUCCGCCUCCCGGGUUCAAGAGGUGUUACAGUUCCAUGACUGCUCCUGUAGAGCAGGACUACUGUGUAGGGAGAGAGUAGCCGUUCAGGGCCAUUCUGCAGUCAUAUUUACACGCACUUUAAUUGCAUGCAGAUAAAGGAACAGUUUAUGCAGCAAUUUCUAGGGAAGGGAUAGUAACUUUUGGGUCAUUGGGUCAUUGCCAUGGAAAAGGGUGGUAACGCCCACAUGUUGCUAUGGCAACGGUGAAUUGACCCGGCACACUAGUGGGCGUGUCUGAUUGAAAGCGGCUUUCUCUGGGGCCGUUUUAGCUAGUCCUCAAUCUGGUCCCGUGUCCAAGUGUCCAAGCCAUGCCUCUGGAGUUGAGUGCCACCUCCUACCUCACCUUGUUGAAUAGAAAAUGAAUGAGUGACAGUAUGAAUGAAUGGACACCUGUUAAAAGAGCCAUCUAUUACAGCUAAAUGAAUGAAGGGCAUAGACAGUCCUUUGGUUGUUUUUCCAACUAGAAAUCUCUCCCUGUGUUCUGUGAUGGCCUAAGUCUGGCCCUGCUCAAGUGAGGGACUUCCUCGAUGGGCUGGUCUCAUUCUUGUGCCCUCCAGGACAGCAGGGCAGAGGGAGAGGGAAAUGGGAGGGGCUGAGGGACAACGUGGCUCUUCUGGGAGCCUCUUUACCCUGUGAAAUUUCCUCUGGCAGCUUUCCCCCUUGGCCUGCAGCCUGUGCCGGCCCCUGCCCCCAACUCAUUGGCUUUGGUUACAGGGACAGGCCCAGAGUCAAGAACAAUAAAGGGAGGAGGGGCCUGCUUCACAGGGUCAGGGGUCAGGGAGGGGGUUUGAAGGGUGAGGAGAUUGGCUCUGUGUAGCAUCCGGUUUCAAACAACUCUGUUUAGAAAUAGAAGAGAAGCCCUCCGGAAAAUGGAAGGGCUCUGGCAGGCCUCCCAGCUGGCCAAGGAACAGCAAGUUCCUGCCAAUAUGUGACGGAAGUGGGGGAUUUGUGGGGAGGGAGGAGGGAAGAGGGCACUGGAGGGAGUAGACACAACCUAGCAACAUUUUCCCUGCUAAAAACCUUGCUCUGAAGUAAACAUGGAGGGUUCUUAUUCUUCCUGGCUGUGUGCACUCGGGCCAGCCUACUUCCUGUGGGCGCAAUUAUUCCCAGGGGUGUGUGUUUUCGUUUUUAAAGACAGAGAAUUAUAAGCUAUUCAUGGUCACUGCCUGAGAAUUCUUUGGAAUAAUGAGAUAGAAAAAUCAUCUCUACUGUUCACAUUUCUGAGGAAGAACAAGCCUUCUAGACUCUCUCCUAGGAUGGGGCUGGGAAACUCACUUUUUCUCCUGCUAAGCUCCUUCUCAGUCCAUUAGAGCCAGAGGGCCAAUAGGGGCCUCUUCGUGCUUUGUAGGCUAGAGGGUGUAAAGAACCUAGAUGUGCAGGAAAUCUGCUCUGGCUGAUCAGGCAGGUGAACUCGGGGAGGGAGAGCUCUAAGGGAGGACCAAAUGAGACAGUGGAGAUGGCGGCUCGGCUUCAGCUCACCCCUGCUGGAGCAUUCUUAGUGAUCACAAAACCCACACUACUGCCUCGCUGAUACCAUAAUGUGCAACCAUGCCUUUUACUUUACAAAUUUCAGGCACUGGCCUUUGGAGAUAACAAGGUUGUGAAGUGUCCCACUUCGGGAAGGAAUGCUAACAAUUGAGUUACCGCCUUGUUGCCACUGACCAGAGCAUCAGGUGGUCCAUUACUCAAGAUAACCGUGGCAACCAGAUAUGCUGACCCUCAUCCCCUACCCUCAGGUGCUUUGCCCAGCCCACCCUGUAUACCUCAUGCCCCAUGUUAAUUCCUGCGCUUUGCCUAAUAAAAAAGCAGGGCUCUUUUGGGGGAGUAAGUCAGGGAAUUCUCUCUCUGUCUCUGUCUCUGUCUCUCUCUCUCUCUCUCUCGCUGCCUCUUUUAUGUCCAGGCAUAAGCUCCAGUGAAGCCUUGUUUGGAAAAACUCUUUGGGCCUUGUGUGAAUUUCUAUUGCAUUGAGAGCCCAAGAAUCAUGGUUGGUAAUGUGAGGGGCCUUAUUGAGGGGGGGCAAGUCAUUCCACAUUUUCCAAAUGAGACCGAAGUGGAUACACAGACUAACAAUAACUGCAGUGACUCAUUCUCCUUUCCAGAACCUCAACUCACAGCUGUCCCCAGUGGCUUUGUGGCAUUUCACAACAGUUUUGACUUUAGAACCUCUCUCACCUUGGCCCCCACUCCAGAGCCAAAGGAACCCCCACAUCUCAGGAAGUAGGUUAUGAAUCUGGGAUACCCUGGAAGCCCAGAUGCAAAACCCAUAUUAGGGAGGAGGAAAUGGGGAAAAUGAAUGUUUUUUAAAGCCACCUUCUACACAAGCCUCCCCAAGAAGGGUGGAUCAUCUUUGCUGCUAUAGGAACUCUUAUUCAUUGCUGGUGGAGGGUCCAAAGAGAUAAUGUUAAAGUAUUGAUUUGAGCUGAAGGAGUGAAUUAUGCUAAUAAUUAGAUUAUUAAUCCUUUUACAAAUCUAACACUAUCCAAUUAUUUUAACAAAGAUGAAGGAGAAACUAAUGAGUGUUCCAUAAUAUCAGUAUUGGACAACGUAGCUUUAGAGCUUUAUGGUCACAGAAAAGGAAAAAAAAUUGAAUUUGUAUACAUUUUAAGAGAAAUGAUAAGGCGAUUAAUAAAUGACUUUGAUCAUAAAUGUAUAUUAUAUCAGGAUAAAGUUCUUUAGGGAAAGAGGAGUGGAAAUACAAACUCAAGGAGAAAAAAGGAAUAAUGUAAAAUUUCUGACUGUUAAAGAAGAGCUUGUUCGUGAUUUUUUUUAAAAAAAUGGAACAUAUUAAAUUGCUAAAACAUUCCAAUUCUAUUUUGAUACAUUUAAAUAGUGGCUUAUAGUUAUUCCAAAAUGUUUAACUGUUAAAAUGUUAAAAGAUUUCAAAUUUACAGUAAAAUGUAACAUUUUUCAGCUAUUUAAACUCAAAAUGAGAUUUAAAAUACCAACACAAAAAUUUUAAGGCAUCCCUUCAGAGUAGAGGAGGAAAAAAAAACUGUCAAAGGGGAUAUAUAAUGUUCCAACAUUAUUUUAGGGGACAUGCAAUGCAAGCAAAAUACUUGAAGACUCCUGAGCUGGACAGCAUUUGUGUUCUUUUCAACUCUUUGGAUUUUGUGGAUGGGGUCUAAGAGGUUACUCUGGUGAGUGGGCACUGCAAAGAGCAGGACACCUAUCUCCAAAUGUAAAGGUUCACUUACAACCAAGUCUCCAAACAAAACAAAGUAGAAACAAGCCAACAAAUAAAACCCACCAUCUCCUUCUCUUAUACACACACACACACACACACACACAGAGCAGACCCCCCAAGCCCCCCAGUAGUUGUUCCAGUAUAGGCCGUUCAUCAACCUGUGAAAACAUGAGCUUCGUUAGCAACAGGGCAUGGUCUGAUCCCUGGGAAAUCUCUGGAGCUGGGAGUGGCCUCAAAGAGGAUCAUUAAAGAUCAAAAACCCCACUUGAAGUUGUUUGUUCUGCUGCAGUGUAAAUCCUCUUGGCUGAGCAGCCCUUGACAGAGUCUGCUGCCUAAACAGAAGUCUUAGACGGGUGUUUGGUUUGUUUUCUGUGGAAAUCAAGGCAAAGGUCUGAGUUCCACAUCUGAGUGCAGACCCAGGACAGUGUACACGGGAUGGCAAAGUGACUCAAACUGAAAGAACUCAGUGGAAGCAGAAACUAGGAGCCAGAGGUGUCAGGAAUAGCUCAGCCCUUCCCAGAGGCAGCAAGAGAGCAAGAAGGACAGAGGAGACUGAGCUGGCAGGUCUCUAAAUGACCUCAAGUCACCACAGCCACUGGUGCUGAAGGAAAUGGGAAAAUAGUCUCGUGACCCAGCGAGUGCUUCCCAUGCAGGUGAGCGCUGACAGUGGGAGACAGGGGUGUAUCAUCCUGGCAAGAGAGCAGAGGGGAGAGGAGAGGACUCCUCAUGCUGUGGGAGCUGGAAUCCUGGCUUGGCUGCCCUGAGUCAGCCUUCAAUAGCCAGAGCCAGACCUCCCCUUCCUAGCAGGGCCCUGCCCAGAUCAGGUGGCCGGGAGGGGCUGUUGCUCAGCCCUAAUCCUGGGAUCAACCCCAGGAAGUGGUAGCAGGACCCAGGUGGCCUUGGACCAUUUCAAAGACUGGCAUCAGAUGUUUAUCAGCUAGUAUUUGUACAAGGCCCAGGCUGAGGAUGCAUAAGAGACUGUGAAAAAUGUCAGGAAAGCGAAAACAGCUUUCUGUAAAUAGGGCUCAGACCCUGGGCAAGGUGCUAUGUCUCCCCUUGGGGCUUUGGUGAAGGAAAACGCAAACAUUAAUCCAGAGUGAGAGAAAGAAACAGACACCACCUUGUAGGAAGAUGGAGGACUGACUCCAGGAAACUCCAAGAGACGGGAUGCAAAGAGAGGCAGGGUCUGUGUUUUACUUUUUCUUUGAAUGUUCUGCAGUCUGUCAUCUCUGGAGGCCUCAGAACCUGGUGUCACAUUACAGGGUGAAUGCCAGGGACAAGCUAAAGAGAGGAGAAGGUAUGACAUAGCUCCACCUACAUGCAAGGGGAGCCAGGAAGUGCAAUCCCUGGCUGGGCUGCCACGUCUCAGAAACCAUUAAGCCUAUGGAAGGUCUCUGGAUUUGAUGGCAAAUGGCAGCAGAAAUGUGGAAAAGAUCAAAGUGAUGUCAAGGUUGAUCUCUGAGUUUGGCAUGGCUGAACUCAAACAUCAUUUGCCAUGGACCCACAGUGUCUUCAGUAGCUGAGUGUGGUGUCAUUCCCCUAUGAUAUGUGCACUCAAUUGCUGGCCAGUUUUUGUUUUUUGUUUUUGAGAGAGUCUCGCUUUGUCUCCUAGGCUGGAGUGCAGUGGCACGAUCUCGGCUCACUGCAACCUCCGCCUCCCGGGUUCAAGUGAUUUUCCUGCCUCAGCCUCCCGAGUAGCUGAGAUUACAGGCAUGUGCCAGCAGGCCCGGCUAAUUUUUUUUGUAAUUUUAGUAGAGACGGGGUUUUGCCAUGUUGGCCAGGCUGGUCUCGAGCUCCUGGCCUCAAGUGAUCCACCUGCCUCCACCUCCCAAAGUGCUGGGAUUACAGGUGUGAGCCACUGUACCUGGCCCCAAAGUUUUAGAAAUUGGAUCAUUUUAAAUGUUGGAGGGGAGUUCAUUGUUUAGGAUGGCUGUGUGGCAAAUCUUUUUUUAAAGUAAGUAAUUCUCCUCUAUUAUAAGUCACCUCCUGAUCUCUACAUUUAAGGUUUGCUGUCCUGGAUGUGUUCACCUAUGAAUGUAAGUGUGCUGAGAUACACAGUGCAAGGCUGAAGUCAGAGUACACCACUGAUGAACCCCUGGGAACUGGUAACCCAGCCAGGGAAUGAACAUCUUUUAUGAAUCAGUUUAUCCACCAAACACUUGCAGAGAGCCUAUCCCAUGCCACCCCUGAGGGCACGGUGAUGGAGAAGAUAUGCUUCCUGCCUCCAAGAACCCCAUAGUCUAGUGGCAGAGACAAGCAGGUACAUAGCUGCCUAUAGUACAGCAUCACAGGUGCCAUAACAUUGUGUAAACUGGGAAUAAUUCUAUUCUCUGGAUAUAGAACAUCUAACCAAGAUAUUGAGUAUCUGGCUUCCCCUUCCCCACACUGGCCCUCACUGGGAUCCAUGUCUAAUAUUAUGAAAGUCACACAAUAUCAUUAUAAACUAAUCAUAAAUGGCACUGUCAGUUUGCUACAAAAACUUAUUCAGAAAAUAUUCAGAUUCUCCCAUCAACAUAUGCCGCUAUGUUGGCAAAAGCUCUGAUUUAAAAUACUUAUUUCGUUUUCCUCUCCGAUUUUGUUCUAGUCUUCAAAAUGAUUUCAUACAACAUAGCACUGAGUUCCUUAGUUCCUCUGACCCCUGCCAGAUCUGAAGCUGUGAUGUUCAAAAGUCAGGGCAGAGUCCAUCUUAUGAUUGAGUUUCAUAAGAGUCUAAGCCACUGAUCAACAUACUGUGGCAGAGUAAGCUUUCUGGGUUCCAGAAUUUAUUGUGAGUGGGCUGAGGGAGUUGAGAAAUGGCAUGGGAGGCCUAAAGAGAAAAUAACUUUUGAAUGAAAAUUAUAGGAAAGUGGAUUUGAGAUCAAAACAAAGGAAGGUUGAUCAUAGUUGGAAUCAUUUAAGAUUGGUGGGGGUAGUGGGCUUCUGGUUCUUAACCCAGGCCAGGCAGAGGUGUGACAACAGUCAGGGGUUUCUAAACAGGGUGGGAGGUUAGAUGAGAAUAGCCUUCAACCCUUUGUGUUGAACUAAAAUCCUAGCUCUGCUUUCAACUCCUAGACUCUGCUUCAUCAUUGCUAAGUUGGAAAGAGCAAGCAAUUGAGAGUCCCUGCUGGCCACAGCUGGGGUGCCCCAGACCACAGCACUGAGCCUCAAAGGCAAGUGAGCAUAGUGUUGGGAGCUGGGCUUCUGGAUCCAUCAACUCCAUCUGAUGACUCGGAAGUUCCUUCAGUUCCCAACACUGGAGUCCAGCAAGGCUGGUUUGUCUUGUUUUAAUUAUUAUUUAGAUGACUGUUUGGCUCAUACCUGAGCAAGGUUCAAAUCAAGUCAGACCUGUUAAUUUAAUCAAAGUUAUAUAAUCACAUUUGGGCACUUAAAUGUAAACCAAUUAUGUUGGAAGCCAAGUAUCUUGUACUCAGGAGGGAGUUCUAAUAAGUGCUGGGAAUGUAUGCUAAUGCACAAAGCCUAACCCCCAGAGUGGAGGGUGGAGCACUCCAGGGCACUCCUGUUUCGGUGACGUUGUUUUAAUAGCUAGUGCUCUGGGUGCAGUCUGGGAAGAUAUUGGAAACAUCUCAAGCAAGUAUGACAUCCAUUUUACCCAAGCCCAUGGAACCCAUUAUGUUUGGAACAUGUCUGUCUGUGGCAUUUGGCUUGGCUUAUAAAUGCACUAUCAGAAUCUAUAGGAGGCCUUCGCAACAAGACGUGUCUUGGCCUUUCUGGUUAUCAGCAAUCCCUCCACCUCUCUCUUAACAAACAUAUGCCAUAAGUCCUGAUCAGGCAUUUAGUUUUUUCACUUGGACCUUUUCCUAGUUCCUAGUCUCAACCCCAAUGCCUCCUAAUCUUGUACUUCUUCAAAUACUGGCCCCCCUCUACUAUGAGAGAGAGAGGAAAGUAGGGAGGAGAAGGAGGAAAAGUUAUUGAGUUGAUAUGAGGGUAGUCAACCUAAAGCAACAAUCAGGAGUAAGGUACUGGACUUGAGUUUGAAGUGUUUGUCACUAAACUCUCUCAAACUCUUCCAGGCUAACUAGCCUCAGAGGGCUUCUAGCCCAUAGUCUCCUUGUAUUUUCUGCCCUCCUCACUUGGAGUGGGAGGGAACCAGAUGUCCAGUCUUUGUCCCGUGUUAAGAACUGGCCUGGCAGGCUUUGUUGAGACCAUCCAGACUUGAAAGCCUCACAACCAGAUGCCAUCACAGGCACUUUCUGCUCUUAACCUUUGUCUGUGUCUCCUACAUGAACUCAUCAGACUGCCUCUGAAGAGGGACAUUCUAGGGACAGUUUCAUCUUCAUCACCAUCCUGGAUAGGGAACCCUUCCAGACUCAGAGUUGCAAAAGUCAGGGAGGGGCUGCUCACUGGAGGUGGAGUCCUUUGGCCAGGUUUCACUGUAAACACAUGGCUAAAAUGUGUCGCACAUGGACAGGCAUGCUAGUGUGCUCUGGAUACAUGCUAGUGUGCCCCAGAUAUAUGCUAGUGUGCCCCGUAUAGCUUCUGGCUAAAGGACACACCUCAGCAAGGCCAAAUGAGGCAUCAGGAUGAACUCUUCAAAUAGACUUCAUUAGACCCACAGAAGACUAACCUUUGCCUGACUUUGGAUUACCCCUUUCUUGCCAGGAAUUAUGUUCAAUGACUAUAUCUGGAACUAGAGGUCUUGAUAGCCACACUUUGCUUGGUGUGGCUUCUCAGUCUUUUAAGGACAUGGCUAUCAAGGGCUCAUGUUUAUUCCAGGUCAGCCCUUUACCCCUUUCCUCCAGGGGCAUCUAUGGCAACAAAAGACCAUGACAUCUGGCAGGGCUGGCAGGACUAUUUAGUUUAGGCAGGAAUGUGGGUGUUAGCAUGUCAGAGUACAUCUGAGAAAACAUUCCAAACCAACCUUUCCACACUGGGAACUCAACCCCCAGGAAUCACCAAAGAUAAGGGCAACAGUCUUAUCUCUCGAGGGAAGUUCAGGGUAAAGUCCACUCCUGCUGUGGACCAGAGCUCAGGGAAGAAGAAAGCUCAGGCUGGCUCUGCCUGUCCACUUGAUGAACUUCCACAAAUGCCACUCUGGGAGCUGAGGCAUAUGAAGUGGGGAAGAAAAUACCAGCCCUGCCCUGGAGCUCUGGGAUGGUGGCUGUACACCCCUAAAGAUGCCAGCAGAUCUGAACUGUGGCCUAUGUGUGUUUGGGAAUUGAGAAAUAAGGAGAUAGAGGGACAGCAGGCAGGAAAAACUACAAUUAGUCUCAGCUCACACAGAUUUGGGAGUAUGCAGAUCUGAAUUGUGGCCUCCAUGUGUUUGGCUGAAGGAUAAUGAUCUCAGGCCCAGACUUUUUUUUUUUUUUGUAUCACUCGCUCAGGGGGCUCUGACCAGGAGCUUCUUUCAGAUGACACAGAUCCCGAGGAGCCACUUGCCUUCUACCCAUGACACUUCUAAGAGUGACUCUUGCCAUGUGACCAUAGAGAUAAGUGAAGUUUUCUCCAAUGACAUCAUUAAGAAGUCUAAACUUCCCCAAAGGGAGAGGCUGUGACUAGGAACACAAAUGUCUCAGUGUAUCACACUCAUGCUCCCAGAUCUGUGGGCAGAAAAAGAAAUCAUAGAAUGGUGCAUAUCCUAAAAAUAAAAAGGAAAUUGCUUUUCAAGUUAUGAAAUUUGGCCCUUCUCAUUGUGAGUUUAAAGUACAUGUUACUGCUUCAGUUUCUAAAACAGGAGGUGGCCAAAUUCAGAGUUUAAAAUGUCUAAGUGGUUAUUUGAAAACAGAUAUUUAGAGGCAACUGAGAGAAGAAUACUGGGGCCAUGGGUCUGCAGUCACUUUCCCAGCAGUGCUCUGAGGCCUUGGGUCUCAUAAAAGGUAAUCAUAGUUACGCCUUUUAAAGAAAGCUGAGUCUAACUGUAGCUUUUCCUGCCUGUUGUCCCUCUAUCUCCUUACUUCCCAAUUCUAUCUAUCUUUCAAAACCCAGCUCAAAUCCCACCUCCUUCCAUAAGUCUUCCAUUGUUUAAUAUAGUUGGAAUUUACCUCUCCCUCCUCUAACUCCCAUGGCAUUUUAUUUACACCUCUCUGAUGGCCACUUUCUACUUUCUAUAAGGUAAGUUAUAUACUUGUUUUAUAUCAAUAAAUUUCAAAAUAUUGAAAUCUUA